rnacentral:ncRNA from 1 species
GCCGCCAGACUUAAGGAUAUCAUUUAGCGGAGGAAAGGAAACUAACAAGGAUUCCAUUAGUAACGGCGAGUGAACGGGGAGAAGCGCAGCGCUGAAUCUUUCAGUGUUACAUCGUUAAGAAAUGUAGCGUAUAGGUGUGGUUUUCAGUUUGUGCUGCAUGUCCAAAGUCCCUUUGAUAGGGGCCACAUUCCUGAGAGGGUGCGAGACCUGUGCGGGCAGUGGAGCAAGCUGUAUGAUCAUACUUGGAGUCGGGUUGCUUGAAAGUGCAGAUUAAAGUGGCUGAUAAAGUUCAUCUAAGGUUAAAUAUAGACGCGAACUCGAUAGCAAACAAGUACUGUGAAGGAAAGUUGCAAAGAACUUUGAAGAGCGAGUUCAAGAGAACGUGAAAUCGCUGGAGUGGACAAGAAUCGACGGGUACCUUAGUCGUGCUGGCCGCACUCCUGAGGUGCUAUAAGAGACUAAAAAGAGCAUUCGUUAUAGUGUAGACCUUCAUAUUUUCCUUGAAUUUCUUUAAUUCGAUUACUUAUUGGAGACUUUUAUGUUUUAUGCCUCAUGUGGGGUGCUUACGAGAGAUCUCCGGUUCACAGCUUAAGCCAAGUGAAGAGUGUAGUACAUUGUAUUCUAAGAUAAAUAGCGGAACCUCGUCUGACGCUUUCAUUGUUCUUGCUAGAGUUUUAGCUCUGCCGUUUACUACUGAAAC